UCGAGCGGUAACAGGAGAAAGCUUGCUUUCUUGCUGACGAGCGGCGGACGGGUGAGUAAUGUAUGGGGAUCUGCCCGAUAGAGGGGGAUAACUACUGGAAACGGUGGCUAAUACCGCAUAAUGUCUACGGACCAAAGCAGGGGCUCUUCGGACCUUGCACUAUCGGAUGAACCCAUAUGGGAUUAGCUAGUAGGUGGGGUAAAGGCUCACCUAGGCGACGAUCUCUAGCUGGUCUGAGAGGAUGAUCAGCCACACUGGGACUGAGACACGGCCCAGACUCCUACGGGAGGCAGCAGUGGGGAAUAUUGCACAAUGGGCGCAAGCCUGAUGCAGCCAUGCCGCGUGUAUGAAGAAGGCCUUAGGGUUGUAAAGUACUUUCAGCGGGGAGGAA
rnacentral:rRNA from 1 species